GACGAACGCUGGCGGCGUGCUUAACACAUGCAAGUCGAACGGAAAGGCCCUGCUUUUGUGGGGUGCUCGAGUGGCGAACGGGUGAGUAACACGUGAGUAACCUGCCCUUGACUUUGGGAUAACUUCAGGAAACUGGGGCUAAUACCGGAUAGGAGCUCCUGCUGCAUGGUGGGGGUUGGAAAGUUUCGGCGGUUGGGGAUGGACUCGCGGCUUAUCAGCUUGUUGGUGGGGUAGUGGCUUACCAAGGCUUUGACGGGUAGCCGGCCUGAGAGGGUGACCGGCCACAUGGGGACUGAGAUACGGCCCAGACUCCUACGGGAGGCAGCAGUGGGGAAUAUUGCACAAUGGGCGGAAGCCUGAUGCAGCAACGCCGAGUGCGGGAUGACGGCCUUCGGGUUGUAAACCGCUUUCGCCUGUGACGAAGCGUGAGUGGCGGUAAUGGGUAAAGAAGCACCGGCUAACUACGUG
rnacentral:rRNA from 1 species